rnacentral:rRNA from 1 species
GUGUCAGCAGCCGCGGUAAUACGGAGGGUGCGAGCGUUGUUCGGAAUUACUGGGCGUAAAGCGCGUGUAGGCGGCCUUGCAAGUCAGGCGUGAAAGCCCUCGGCUUAACCGGGGAAGUGCGUCUGAAACUGCUUGGCUUGAGUACGGGAGAGGGAGGCGGAAUUCCCAGUGUAGAGGUGAAAUUCGUAGAUAUUGGGAGGAACACCGGUGGCGAAAGCGGCCUCCUGGACCGAUACUGACGCUGAGACGCGAAAGCGUGGGGAGCAAACAGGAUUAGAUACCCUGGUAGUCCACGCGGUAAACGAUGGGCACUAGGUGUGGGGGGUAUCCACUCCUCCCGUGCCGAAGCUAACGCAUUAAGUGCCCCGCCUGGGGAGUACGGCCGCAAGGUUAAA